rnacentral:rRNA from 1 species
UACAGAGGUCUCAAGCGUUUGUUCGGAUUCAUUGGGCGUAAAGGGUGUGUAGGUGGCGCCGUAAGUCGGGUGUGAAAUUUCGGAGCUUAACUCCGAAACUGCAUUCGAUACUGCCGGUGCUUGAGGACUGGAGAGGAGACUGGAAUUAGGUGUAGCAGUGAAAUGCGUAGAGAUCAUGAGGAAGACCAGUGGCGAAGGCGGGUCGUCUGGACAGUUC